UGGACCGACCUGCUCUUUCUAGGGUAAAGCCAUUCUUCUAGGUCUUGCCACUAUUUUCUUCCUCCUGGAUUCUCCCAAGAGCCUAUUCUCUACCUUCUACCAGCCUUGUUUCUCAGUAUCCAUUCUCUCACUGAAGGAGAAGAGAAGAUUGGCCUCAGACACUUCCGUCUUCAGACCUGUGCCUCUCCUUUGAGGAUCCCUUCCCCGAAGCUGCCAAGGAGAACCUUCCCUCACAUUGUUCCUCCUUUGUUCCCCGCUCUCCUUUUCCAGGCUGAGAGACCUGGGGCCUUGGAAGCAAGCACACGCUGGCUGAGCUGUGAUUCCUCCAUGUUGAUUAUAAUUUUUAUCACAUUAUAUGGGAUCCCUCUGGUGGUUACUAGGGGAUACGUCAGUUUUGAGAGAUUGGAACCUAACCAAAGAAGCUUCAAAUCUAGAGGAUAAGGGGACUCAGAGUUUACAAGUCACAGCAAGCAGAUGCUGGUCUGCUUUAGGUGCCUCUUACGGGGAUUGUGAGAGGGCUCCUGGGGCCUGAGGAGGGUCUUCUGAGGUGUGAAAGGCUGUACUGGUGGUCCCUGAAAGCCAUCGUCAUUUGUGUGAGGAGGAGUACUGGAGGAGCUGUCUUACCACAUGAAAAACAGCAUGGAGCAUCCCAGCCACAUCAAAGGCACGGUUUGAGCCUUGGGCUGUAGAGGCUCAGAGAGAGUGACAAAUAAGACCCUGGUGAGAGACCAAUGGGGACAGUAUUUCCAGACUUUGGCAUGAAACAGAUUUCUGAGCACCUCAUGAAAUGUCUGCAAGGGCAGCUCCUCAGAGUGACCCUCCCAAAUCAAUCAAAGCUGGCCCCCUAUCUUAAUUAUGACUUACAAAUAGAAGCAUGCACCUGGCUGGAUGCAGUUUGCCACAUGGUUUACAAUAGCGGUAGAAUAAGAAAUAACUUACCAAACGAGUACAUUUUCUUGGCUGGCUGGGGCACUCAGAGUUGACACUGGUAAGGCUCCAUUAAAAUGCCUUUAUGUUCUGAUAUACACAGAUGUGUUAAUUUAUAGCAUAUUCAUCAGAAGACAUAAAUUAAUUGCUCUCUGAUGAAUUUUAUAACACCUCCUUUAUGCCUCUCCACCCUCCCCCUCCAAAGUACACUGAAAAGGUCAACAGCACUAUCGAAUGCAGCACACUUCAACUUCCUUCCAAGCUUAUAAUUAAAGCUAAUUAGUAGCUUUGGUAAUUAGCGCAUGUAAGCUUUCUGCUUUCUGAAUUAAUAAGACUGAGUCAGGUUUUGAGCCAAGUAGACUUUUCACUCACUGGUUCUGAUUCUUGAACUGUGUUUGGCUGGUUAAUUUAAAACAUGUCUGUUGAAAGUGGAAUACUAGAAAGAAAACAUACUUGUGAUGGUCUGCUCUCAAGCCAGUGUGAUUUAUGAACAGGCCAAAGUGGAACUGUUGUCACAAGAGAAAAUCAGAAUGCUCUGGGUUUCCAAUAACUGACCAGUCUCAACCUCUCAGUGUGAAAUGAGUUGUGCCCAGUUACUAUGUCACAUGGACACAACACAACGUCAAGGAUGCCCUUGCACACUUAUGUCACCCUCUCAUAACACAUCUGUACUAAGCACAUCAAAUCCUCUUUAUUUUAGGAGAAUGCAGAGGCAAUGGCAGUGGGGUGCCAAGAUAUAACUAACUGCUCAUUUUGAUUCAAAUAAAAAUCAAAGAGGAGAAAAAUCAUUAGUCAAAUCAGCUUCUGCUUUUGUGUAGACAAAGUGAUUCUCCAAAUAGCUUCGUGUUUCUUUUUUUAGCCAGCAUGUGGGCAUCCUGCAUGCCCAGACAGAAUUAAAAGUGCAUGUUUUAAAAUCAAGAAAUCAAAUCUAUAUUCUAUUAAAAGAAAAAAUGUGAUUUGUUUUCAGACUUUAGAAACAGUUGGGAUAAAAAUUUCCACGGGUGAGCUCAUUUGCUUUUUCUUUUCCCAUACUAAUCUCAGAAAAUUUAUUUUUGUUUUUUAAAGAAAGAAAGGAAGGAAGAAAAAGAAAAUCACUUAGUGAUUUACUGGACUCCUUAUAAGUCCAGGACAAUGGUGGGGGUUGCUCACAGCGCUAGUAAUUUUGAUACAUAAAGAAAAGGAAACAGUCACUGCUGCAGAGAGAGGAAUAUAUAAGACAGCUCUGGGUCACUAGAGUAAAUGGUUUUCAUUUUAAUGGCGCACUUACUGCCACUGUGAUAGCCACAUUUGGAUCUGUAAGGGGCAGUUAAUACUAUUCAAGAGCAAGGCACAUUUGGUCUUGUGGAUGGCUGUGAUUGUGAAGGUGACAAGGGGUUAUGGAUUCCCACAGCCUCACAGGCCCAGCUGAAUAGGAAGCCUUGUGCCCCCUUGGCAGCUCAUCCUACCCCGUGGCAGCUCAUCCUACCUAGGUGGAUACACUCCAGUAAGAUCUAUACACAGUGGUUCUCAACUGGGGGAGAUUCUGCCCCCAGGGGAUACUUGGCAAUGUUUGGCACAGUUUUGAUUGUCAUAACUGGUGGGAGAGGGUAGAUGCUACUGGCAUCUAGUGAGCAGAGACUAGGAAUGUUGCCAAACGAUCAGCCAUGCACACGACAGUCACUCCUCAACAAAGAUGAUCUGGCCCCACAGGAUACUAGUGCCAAUGUCAUGGAACCCUGAUACAGAAGGUCUAAACAGGGUCUGAGGCCCUCCUUGUCUUUGAGGAAGAGUUAAAUGUUAGCUUUCCAGAUUGACUCUGGACUGAUCUUGGCCUUAUACAAGUCAGAAAGAAGUGAGUGAUAGCUCACCCACAGGGGCUAGAUCUGAGUCAGACUGGAAGAAGUCGGCACACUCAGGGUAACGGCAGCUGCCUAAAAGCCAAGCGCUGGGCAUUUUUAUGUUGCAGCUAAGGCCAGCAUGCUGCAUUAUGGAUGAGCUCAUGUGCCAUGGCAAACAGUUUAAGAACGAUGCUUAUAUUUAAUGAAUCCUAAAUGGUUUAUUACAGAGGGUCAAGUUUCUGCUUCCUGUGGGAAUUUGACAUUUAUGAAAAUGCACGCACAUUAAUUAUUCAGUGGAGACGUCCUUCCUAUGGAAAUUCACUUUCCUGUACACUCGACAGGACUACAUUCCCUGUCUGCAUGGGCUACUUUGUUGUUAAUCCUCUAAGCAUUAAUUAAAUAAAAUUUGCAACCGAGCCAGGAUGCAUCUACCCUCAAAUGUUAUGCAAAAGACAGUUAAAUGCUGUUUGAUUUUUCCUGCUAGUAGCCAAUCAUUACCCAUAGCUAUUUAUGUUCUUCCUUUUGUUCUUUAAAGCAUAAACCUGGUAUCUCUUCCCACUGAGAAGAAAACUACGCUCAGUAAUUAAAUUACACCACAUUAAACUUACUUAAGUUCACCAGCAGGGAAAAUUCCGUGCCCCUGGGUUUAACAGUAAGUCCUAAUCACGCUUGCAAGCCAUAUCUUUUCUGUGAGUUGUUAUAGUUUUCAUUCCUGGAAUUCCAUUAAAAAUGGUAAUGUCAUUACUCCUGUUACUGCUCAAAACCAACAGCAUAAUCCUGAAUUUUAAUUAGUAAUUACAAUUAAUCAUUAUUUCAUUAAUGAAAUGUUUAGUUGGUAAUUGUCUUUGAGCACCUUACUCCCUAGGCUUAUAAGCAUUUCAUAACAUCUAAUUUGUUGCCUGUUUCUGAUGAAGUGGCACUGUCAACCUUAUUUUAUGUUAACACUUUGAUGGGGCUCUGCAUCCCAGGCCUGCACCACCGGCUGCAUAUUUACACCUUGGAAAUGUGUGGCUUCUGGCUCUCGAUAAGGUUCGCCUGAGGACGUACCCUCGCAUUCUUUCCUGCCAGCUUAAGAAGGCGACUGUUUGUGCUCCCAGAGAGCACAGCAUGUGAAGAGAGAAAUAAUAAUUCCUGGAACGCUUACUUAAUAAUAAAUCUGGGAUCCAAAUUCAUGGAUUUUUGAGAGGGGAUAGAGCAAGGAUUUGGAGGUAGUCUUUGGAACAGGAAGGUUGAUUUUAAAAGAGCUUAAAGAAUUAAGAAUAAGCUGGGAGGGUUGUCAAGAAUUUAACACGAGGCAAGAUUUUUGUUGAUCCUUUUGCAAUAGCAAAGAUAUUCUUAUUUAUUAGGAUGGUUUUUUAGGGGUGAGGGGAAGCUUGUCUUCCCCACCAAAAGGUCAGGGACCCAAGUAUGCCUUGCACACAGUUGUAUUCCUAGCUCCUGGUGCGGGGUUGGGCAUACACGUGACUCAAUAAACAGCUAGAUAAGUCAUUGUUCCUGCAUGGCCUAUGGUUAGGCUAUGAAGGGGGUAACUGAGGUACAAGAGUUAAUGGUGGUUUGGUGAUGGUAGCAGGGUGUGGGAUGCUAGGAGAUGCCAAAUCAGUGGGCUGGUGUGCUCACAAAUGACCUGAUGUCAUAGUUGUCUGUCACUGACAAUUCUAAAAGGACGGAUUCAUCCGACUGCCCUCUAUGUAAAAAAAUUUACACAUACACACACACACACACACACACACACACACCCGACGGUGAAUUAUUCAGGGAGGAGAAAGCCUGCUAUCCUUGGCAAAUUAAACAAGGAGGAUUUGAGCAAAGAAAAGAUGUGCUGCUGUUAUUUCAAGGAAGUAUUCACAGCUUCAGAAUUAAAACUGAGAUGGAACAACAUCAGACUUGUUGGAAAAUGCUCCGCGUCUGUGGUGUAUUUCAGACAAGUUAGUCAGAAAAUUCAAAAUAUCUGGAAGAAAUAAAUGACGGCCAACAGUUUGGUGUUGGCCACCAGGUGCCAGAGCACGUAUGGUCUUGGCCUAAGGUGAGUGAAAGACAGGUUUCUGGGUCAAGACAGGUGUUUCCAAAUGGCAAUUUUUGAGGCUGCUGACAUUUUACAAAAUAAAAGAAUGUGAUAAAGCUUAAGUUUUUGGUUGUAUUUUAUAAAUGUCUAUAUUUAAGAAGUUCAUGCUUUAGCACACAUAAGACAUUCAACAAGUCAUUUGGAAAUAACAUCAAAUGUCGAAAUUUGAGACCCU
rnacentral:lncRNA from 10 species